AUUGAACGCUGGCGGCAGGCCUAACACAUGCAAGUCGAACGAGUGGCUGACGGGUGAGUAAUGGCUUGGAAACUGCCCGAUGGGGGGGGAUAUCUACUGGAAACGGUAGCUAAUACCGCUUACCAUCGGAUGUGCCCAGAUGCGAUUAGCUAGUAGGUGGGGUAACGGCUCACCUAGGCGACGAUCCUUAGCUGGGCUGAGAGGAUGACCAGCCACCGUGGAACUGAGACACGGUCCAGACCCCUACGGGCGGGAGCAGUGGGGACUAGUGGGCAUUGGGCUCAAUCCAGACGCAGCCAUGCCGGGUGUAUGCAGAAGGCGUACGGGGUGUACAGUACUCCCCGCGAUGAGGCGUUACCCGCCGAAGAAGCACCGGCUAACGCCGUGCCAGCAGCCGCGGUAAUAC
rnacentral:rRNA from 1 species